AAUAGAUUAAAUAUUGAAUUUGUUUCAUCCAUCUACACACAAUACCCCCAUAAUACCAAAAACAGGUUUUUAGAAAUUGGCAAAUUUAUAAGUAUUCAGACCCUUUGCUAUGAGACUUGAAAUUGAGCUCAGGUACAUCCUGUUUCCAUUGAUCAUCCUUGAUAUUUCUACAACUUGAUUGGAGUCCAACUGUGGUAAAUUCAAGUGAUUGGACGUGAUUUGGAAAGGCACACACCUGUCUAUAUAAGGUCCCACAGUUGACAGUGCAUGUCAGAGCAAAAACCAAGCCAUGAGGUCGAAGGAAUUGUCCGUAGAGCUCCGAGACAGGAUUGUGUCAAGGCACAGUAAAGUGUACCAAAACAUUUCUGCAGCAUUGAAGGUCCAAGAACACAGUGGCCUCAAUCAUUCUCAAAUGGAAUAAGUUUGGAACCACCAACCCUUCCAAGAGCUGGCCGCCCGGCCAAACUGAGCAAUCAGAGGAGAAGGGCCUUGGUCAGGGUGGUGAACAAGAACCCAAUGGUCAUUUACAGAGCUCCAGAGUUCCUGUGGACUGGAAGACUAGUCAGGAUCGAGGGAAAGUACAGAGAUCCUUGAUGAAAAACUGUUCCAGAGCGCUCAGGACCUGAUUGGGGCGAAGGUUCACCUUCCAACAGGACAACAACCCUAAGCCCACAGCCAAGACAACACAGCAGUGACUUCAGGACAAGUCCAGGGUUCCAACACCUUCUUAAACAUCAAAUUCAAGGACUUUUCAAGGACUUUCCAGGCCCAAUUCCCUCAAAUUCAAGGACCCAACAUGGCAUAGUUUGAGACACGGAUCAAGGUUAAUUACUGUUACAACACUGAUCAUUUUUAUAAUGAGAACUAGCAGGCUUUACAGAAGCUCACAGACAACAAUUAAAAAGAGAAAGAGGCUUGAAUGUGUGAACACUUCUCAAUUGUGCUGUUACAAUGAUGGCAGACUACGUGGUCUCUUGCCUUCUCUAACACAGCAAAACAAUAUAUUGUUUAAGUUGAGCGAUAGAGACUUAUUUACGAGUUGAAGAGCUAAGUAACUCCUCGUUUAUUUAAUUAGCACCAGCUUAACACAAAACAUGUCGCAGAGCAAAAACAUGACCUUGUUUUUCCAUGAACAUGACUAAAUAAAUAGGGAAAUAAAAAACACAUGGCCAUAAAUAAAAUUAUUUGCAACAAUAAAAGAUUAGAUGAAAAUCAAAAUAAAUAUAACAUUUCUCCAACCAUUGUGUUCUGGGGUUGUUAGCCUUUUUGGUUCAAUUGCUUUCAUUUAUUUUUUAUUGCUUACUCAUUGAGUAGUGUUUUGCCCUUUCUCAAACUGUUAAAACAGUGCCCAUCCUUGCUUUUUGCUGCUAUGCCCCUUCAUUUGCUUUUCAGGUCAUUACAUUUUUCGUUGACUAGUGUUUCUAUUUCAGCGGCAAUAAGAGUGAGGUUGCCUGUGCUCGCCUCUUUGAGUGCAAAUUUGUCUGCUGAGGUCUCGAGAGCAUUUAUGUCAUCUGUCAGUCUUCUUUUCUUCCCUUUAAGUUAACCUAUUUCAUCUAUAAGGUCUUUUCUCUUUCUGUUUUUUUGCUCAUCCAUUCUUCUCCGUCUCUGUUCUUCUUGAUGUGUCACAUACCUCUGCCUUGCAGAUGCCACUGACAUAAGCGGCGGUCUGUCAAUGCACACAUUAUGUAUGCCACCCACAGCUCUUAUGUGGUCAACUAUACAUCUCUGUGCUACAUAUGAAUCUUCUUUCAAGUUCUCCACUUCAAUCUACUGAUUGAUGGAGAAUCCGCGCUCUACUGAGGCUUGCCUGUGUGACAGUAAGAGGAGUGGGAGGCAAAGUCUCCAUAGAUUUAUGAGCUCUUUGUCCUUUGACAUAUACUCAUGUAAAAAUGUGUCCAAGCUGUCUUGGACAGGAUCAAAGUUGACAAACUCUUGAGUGUUGGGCCUGGACAAUGUCAUCAAUAAAAUGUGAGUAUUGCCGAAUGAUGUCAUCACAAUCUUCUUCCUUCACCCGAUGACUAUUUACAAGGUAGGUCAGGGCCUUCUUCAGUUUUGCUGUACACAGCAUCUUUCCAUUUGUGCCUGCCAUUUCUCUUGGAUCCAAGAAAGAAAGAUGUGAGAACAGAGUACUUCAAUGGAAAUUUCUCAAUGAGUUUGUAAACAGUUGAGCAUACACUUCUUGCAAGCGAUUUUGAAGUCCAGCAAUGCUUUCUGUCCAAUUCUCUUCCCUGCGGACAAGUCUCUCACAAUUCUUUGAGUAACAAAGCCGAAGUCGACAUGUGAGGAGUCGAUGUGAUUGGAUGACUGUCUCACCUCGACAUCAAUACGUUUUUGAGGGGUCUUCGCUUCUUUCAUGAGGUCUGGCUUAAUUAAUCUGCUCAUCAAGCUCUUAAGCAGCUUGAACAAGUCUGUAGAGAGAAAUGGCACCAUGGGCUUAUCGGUCUGGUAGCGUGUGAGGAAUGGUGUCACUUCUUUGCUCACUGACAAGAUGAAAUUCAGUUUUGCUGUCAUGAGAGGGUCCUUAACAGCCUCCUGAAUCACCUCAAAGGACUUUGUGCCUGUAUUUGAACCUCUCUUCUCUACAGCCUUCACAUAUGUUGCCAUAUGGGGUAAAAACUCUAAAUCUCUUUCAAGCACGGGCCCAUUUUCAACCCACCGUGUCUUGCAAAACUUACGUGGUAUUGGGGGAAUCUGAUGAACCAAUGAUGUUAAAGUAGUCCUCCCUGCGGGCUGGAGUAUCCUUCAGAAGUUGGUACAUAGCAUGCAGUACACUGUCGACUUUCCACUCUGUCUCUUCCACUCCCUUCCGAAAUGCUCCAUGUACAAUAUGGAGACCGUAACUGCCAAUGUUUAUAAGGUGUACAUCAAAAUCUAGGAGGGACUUCUCAACCUUUAAGUAAAAUGACCAAUUUACAUUUGGUCCAUCCAUGGAGAUCUGAACCAUGUUUUUCUUUGGUAGAUCUUCGGUGCUCUUCUCAUAGACAGCUUUAAGGUCCAACGCAGUCGGACCCACAAAUGCACAAAUGUAGAAUCCUAAAAUCUCGUCACAACUUUGUCCUCAUCCCAUAAACGGACAUGAAAGUCACACUGCUUUGACUGAGUUUUUCUGUUAAGGCUCUCAUCAAAGAGAAGUACAUAGUCCUCCUCCCCAGCAAACAGUUUUUUAGACAAGUGCUUGAAAUCAGGAGCCAAGCCAUGUGUGCACAUAUAGCUGGACAUUGUUGCACCACAUGCUGAGGUCUUGGCUAUUGCACUGUCUGGGAACAUCUGAGAACAGCACACCUAAGGAGUAAAAAAAUAAUAAUAAUAAUUUUAAAUCAAACAAACACUUAUUUCUGUUUCUAGCCUGUGUGUGAAUGUGUGUUACAGAGAGAGAAUAUGAAAUAUGAAAAACAUAACAUGUUCAUAAAAAUAAUGUAAUGUUACAGGUGACAGUUUAAACAAUGCUAACGUUUCAGCUAACGUUAGCAAACUGUCAUUUAUUUCAAAUGUUCACUGUCCAGCUCUGCUUGCCGCAAGUUGGCUAACGUAACGUUAACAACUUAGCUAACGUUAGCUAGCUAGCACGAUAGGUGUGAUUGUUGGAGAAUUGAGACUUCAAGAUAACGUUAGCUAACAUAGCAAACGUUAAUUCGACCGAAUAAUUCUGUAACGUUAAAAGUUAAUUUACCCAACCACGAAGAGGCGGAAUAAUCUAGCUAACUAAUUAACGUUAGUAACUAAGUGUGGUUGUUAUAUUCCUUUCUACAUGUUACUAGGGGUAGGACAUAACCACUUUUAACUUGUGGAGUGCCGUCAUGUGACGCUCCAGCAGCAUGGCUCGUCGCAGCUGCUUCGCCCAUGGCGUGACCUUUUGAUUUGCUGCAGGCUCUGCAUCGGGCCAUAUGGAUGUCCCGCGGAUCUUUAACAAGCCAGUCUUUGUAAAUGUCUUUGGAGAGCCACGAGUCCAGGAAUUGACAUUUUCCAAGCAUAGCUUAAGGUGGCGCGUGAAACAAGAACACAAACCGCGAAAGAGACACAUACAGACAGCGGAACGUAGCCUAUUACUGACGUAAAAAACCAAAAAAA
rnacentral:lncRNA from 1 species